GCUGGUGUGGCGCAACGGUAGCGCAACUGAUUUGUAAUCAGUAGGCUAAGGGUUCGAGUCCCUUCACCAGCUCCA
rnacentral:tRNA from 1 species